GGCUUGUCACCCUGCACCAUAUCUGGUUCAUUUCCAGAAAACCAACUGGAAGUUUUGAAGUGGCUGUGUGUCAGGAGCUCUGCGGUUCGUAAAAUUGAGAGGAACACAUGACAGCAGAGGAACAGUUCGACCUGGCUGAAGGGGAGGACCGCACGCUUGACAGCCUCCAACUUUGGUGCUGUCAUAAAGCGUGCCACUUGGACAAAGAAGGGUGUCGGCAACCUGGUAAAAAGCAGGGACCUAUCAAGGGUGAAAGCUGUAAAGUCAGGCCUCCAGACAGUCAGUCCUGCACACCCUCAGACAUGGAGUUACAGUUAGUCCGUGCGGCCUUCUGGUUCCGCCCUCGUGUCCCUGGCUAGGAGCAUCUCCAGAUGGCAUUAUUUUUUACCCAAAGGAAGACCCUCCUCACGGAGUCCUGGAAAUUAAAUGCCCCUAUUCUCUCCGCAAUGCCAGCCUGGACGAACUCUCAGAGGAAAGCUUUUUCUCAGUAAGGGCGGUAGAGGAUACGGCAGCUGAGUGAGAGGAUGGUGAAAAUGUGCCGCUUUCAAGCAGAACCAGGAAGCCAGUGCUCAACAGGGAACACGAGUAUUACUAUCAGGUGCUUGGACAAAUGGCGUUAUCAGGGUUACAAUGGGCCGACUUUGUUGUUUACUCGAGGGAUUUUAUACUUAUCGAGAGAAUACCCUUUUCAAUGUGUGAUUGGGAACGUGUGGAGCGCAAGCUCACCCAAUUCUAUUUUGAGACACUGCUGCACUUGACAUAUCACCAGCCAACAUCACAUUACUCUGCAUUUCGAAUAAUAGGAGCUUGAAAGUUAGUUAAAAUUACGCAAACAGUCCAUAUCUGGUUGAUCACGGGACCUAAGGAGAGCGGAAUAGCACGGUCAAAAAUAUGGAAUGACUUUACACGCUGAAUCUUUCGUUCCACAUGUAUCCUUAACAGCUCCGCUGCUGUUCCGAAAGUAUGAAGACGUUGUGAUAUUCAGAACCGUGGUCCCAACUUCAUUCAUAAACGCACAUUGCUUUCCAAAUUUCCAUACUCCUUCGUGAGAAAUUUGAGAAAAACUACCGGGCGGCGGUUCCACUUGUGACGUCAUACUUGGAACUGCGCGGAUUGGGUAGCCACACCUAGCCAGCUCUGCCCGGCAACCAGUUUGUGUUUACACUCCGUCAUGGCCGCUGUAUCGUGCUGAAAUAGCUGUCACGAGCUAUCGGGGACCACCGCACCGUUUUAUCAUGUUUCUUAUAAGGAAUACUUCGUCUUCGAGCACGUUCUCGUUCUCAAUAGCUUUGGUGGUGCUUUCUGCACGCGCAGCAAGUCCGCGCAUAGUGCGCUGCCAAAGCUAUUGAGAAUGCAAAAGUGUACGUCACACGUUAGGUGUUAGGUCUUGUUGGUAGCAUGAAGCACAGUGCGGGCACAGAAUGUCCGCUCACGACGGCCGUCGUUGCACAACGAGGCCAUCCUGUAAGGCUUGUUAAAGAAGACCGGCAAAACUAUCUUUGAGGCUAUUAACGACAGCAAUUAUCACGGAACACACCCAAAACAUUCACCUUCGCCCAUAGAUCUCCGCCAU